GACGAACGCUGGCGGCGUGCUUAACACAUGCAAGUCGAACGGAAAGGCCCUGCUAUUGUGGGGUGCUCGAGUGGCGAACGGGUGAGUAACACGUGAGUAACCUGCCCUUGACUUUGGGAUAACUUCAGGAAACUGGGGCUAAUACCGGAUAGGAGCUCCUGCUGCAUGGUGGGGGUUGGAAAGUUUCGGCGGUUGGGGAUGGACUCGCGGCUUAUCAGCUUGUUGGUGGGGUAGUGGCUUACCAAGGAUUUGACGGGUAGCCGGCCUGAGAGGGUGACCGGCCACAUUGGGACUGAGAUACGGCCCAGACUCCUACGGGAGGAAGGAGUGGGGAAUAUUGCACAAUGGGCGGAAGCCUGAUGCAGCAACGCCGCGUGCGGGAUGACGGCAUUCGGGUUGUAAACCGCUUUCGCCUGUGACGAAGCGUGAGUGACGGUAAUGGGUAAAGAAGCACCGGCUAACUACGUG
rnacentral:rRNA from 1 species